rnacentral:rRNA from 1 species
GAUGAACGCUGGCGGCGUGCCUAAUACAUGCCAGUCGAGCGAACAGACGAGGAGCUUUCUCCUCUGACUUUAGCGGCGGACGUGUGAGUAACACGUGGAUAACCUACCUAUAAUACUGGGAUAACUUCGGGAAACCGGAGCUAAUACCGGAUAAUAUAUUGAACCGCAUGGUUCAAUAGUAAAAUACGAUUUUGCUGUCACUUAUAGGUGGAUCCGCGCCGCAUUAGCUAUUUGGUAUGGUAAGGGCUUACCAAGGCAACGAUCCAGAGACGACCGGAGAGGGGGAUAGGCUACACCGGAAAGGAGACACGGUCCAGACUACUAUGGUAGGCAGGAGUAGGGAAUGUUCCGUAAUGGGCGGAAGCCUGACGUAAAAAAGCCGCGUGAGUGAUGAAAGUAUUCGGCUCGUAAAACUCUGCUAUUUGGGAACAACAACUGUGGAAGGAACUAUGCACGUUUUGACUGUACCUAAUCAGAAAGCAACGGCUAACUACGUG